rnacentral:lncRNA from 1 species
CAACUUUUAGAAAACCCUGCCUUAAAUCCCUUGGCAAUGCAAGUCUGGACUGCUUCUAAUGGACUGCAGAAAGAGCAUGUUGCUUUAGCUUCAGGAACGUUCCAAUGGAGCAUGCACUGACUGUUGGAAAGUGGGGCAGGAUGGUGAUAUUUUCUAUUGAAAGAUGUAUUUUAAAAAACAUAUCUUUGUGGUGCAUCCAUCAAACUACAMCUGGCUGCAACUUUUUGGUGGAUAUACAGAUUCCUGUGCAUUUUAUGGGAAUGGUGCAAAAUUCUCCUGAUGAGAUGGCAUUCCUGGAAGACAGACCCUUCUGCUACACAUAA